GUCCACGCCCUAAACGAUGAUUACUCGAUGUGUGCAAUACACCGCACGCGUCUGAGCGAAAGCAUUAAGUAAUCCACCUGGGGAGUACGGCCGCAAGGCUGAAACUCAAAGGAAUUGACGGGGGCCCGCACAAGCGGAGGAGCAUGUGGUUUAAUUCGAUGAUACGCGAGGAACCUUACCAGGGCUUGAAAGUUAGAGAAGCAAGCAGAAACGUUUGCGCCCGCAAGGGCUCGAAACUAGGUGCUGCAUGGCUGUCGU
rnacentral:rRNA from 1 species